AUGAUUGGUGCUGAGAGAUCAAACAUAGCGAGACACGGCCGUGUUCGUUCUGUACCAUCAGCAGGGUACGGAAGAGCAUUAAAAUCCGAUCCUGUGGCGAACUGGAUAGUUUGCUGUUGUCUUUGUGCCACUCCGAAAUUCUUCUUGGGGCGCCGUGACAUUAAAGGACCUGCCGGGCAGAUGGAAGAUCGGAAGAUGAAGCUGCAAACGUUAGUUGUCGUGUCCCUGGUUCUCUUCAGCUUUUUCGAACCGACAAAGUCUUCGACAACAACAGAAACAACUCAAGAAACAACAACAUCAGAAGCAACAACAGGAAAUACCAUGACAACAACGGAUCAAACAGAAACAACAACAUCAGGAAAUAACAUGACAACAACGGAUCAAACAGAAACACCGACAACAACAGGAUAUACUACGACAACAGCAGAUCAAUCAGAAACAACAACAACAACAACAGGAAUUGUCAUGUCAACAAUAGGUCAAACAGAAACCUCAACAACAGGAAAUGUCAUGACAACAACGGGUCAAACAGAAACAACAACACCAUUAUAUACCAUGUCAACAGCAGGUCAAACAGAAACCACAACAACAGGAAUUGCCAUGACAACAACGGGUCAAACAGAAACAACAACACCAUUAUAUACCAUGUCAACAGCAGGUCAAACAGAAACCACAACAACAGGAAUUGCCAUGACAACAGCGGGUCAAACUGAAACAACAACAUCAGCCAUGAGUAGUACUUCAGAUGCAACAACAGCUAUGUUAACGACAACAACAAGUAAUGCGGGGAUAACAUCACAGGGUACGAUGUCGAGUUCUGCUUCCACGGAUGUUUUGUCUACAACAACCAUUACACAAACACCUACAACAACCAAUACACAAACACUUACAUCAGUGUCAACGGGGACGUCAGCAACAACAAUGAACGAAACCAGUACAGCUGGCGACAUUCAGACAACAAUAUCAACAACCAGCACCGAUCCGGGGACGUCUUCUUCCAGUUCCUAUCAAUCGACAACUAGUCCAACAACAACAAGUUCCUACCAAUCGACGACAAGUCCAGCAUCAACGGUCAUCACCACAUCAUCGGACACCAGUACUACAGCGGAAACUGUGAUCGUCUCAAAUUCAACUGCAGCUAGUUCUGGACUUACAUCAACUUCUAGUUCUGGACUUACAUCCAUUUCUAAUAGCACAACAUCCACGGUACCUGAUUCAACAACAACGGACCCGAUGUUUAAUGAUACAACCAGCUCGGCAUCUAUGACGUCAUCACAAUCACCUGAGACAACAUCUUCCGUGGGAAUCCCCAGUAACGUGUCAGUUUCCCCGGAAGUGGUGGCUGUUUUGGGUAUGUCUGAUGACGGUUCCCGCCACGAGCCGCACAUGGUGUGUGUGUUCCCUGAGCCCAGAAGUAACCUGUACUUCCUGAUUAAGUGGUUCAUCAACGACAAUCCGUUGACCACGACAUCCUACGGCGCAGUCCUUCACCCUAAUAUUAACACCACAGCGGCGCUACGACCACACCACUGGUCCAGCAACUACAGUCUGAACAUGAAUGUGAAAUGCAGUGUAAGCGCCCAGUAUCUCGUUAAUAGUGGCCCAAGCCCCGCAUCUACAAGUCCGCCCUUCCUCGCAGGAGUAACGGUUAGCAAUACCUUUCUAUCGAUCGAUGAGGGAGAAUCUACGGCAAUAACUUUAACGAGCUCUCUUCCGGUUGGUUGUUCUGCCUCACUCACAGACGCUCAAAAAGAGGCUCAGUGUAAAGCUGAUUUGCAUAUUAUCACCAGUGAAUGGAGCUGGUGUUGGAAUGGCGUAAAGUACCUGGGUGUGGCUUUCCCUGACAACGGAUGUCACGUGACAAUUCCCUACAAGUACUGGGACCAGCCAGUUUACCUGAAUGUUACCGGGUAUGUCGACGGCAUGAAGAAUUGGUGGGGACGCUACUCCAGGAUUAAAUUCAAAUCUACCACCAACCCCACAGACACAUCGAACGCGUGGAACAAUGUGAAAGUUACUGAUACCGUGUCGGUAUCCGUUUGGGACAAUACUCCCUACAGCUCCACUGGGGGAAUCUGUGGAGGCUUCAACGAUCCCCACAUGGUGACCUUUGACCGGCGGUACUGGGAGAACCAGCGAGUGGGGGAAUUCGUCAUGUACCAGCACAAAACUAAACCCUUAGCGGUGCACGCUCUGUAUUCCACCUGUUACCCCUGGCGCGCGGCCUGUAACUGUGGGGUGGCCAUAAGGUCAGGGAAAAAUCUGUACGUGGUUCGAACCUGCAUAGAGGUGUCCCUCCAGAGGGUCUCCCUCCUCAGUUAUCCUUAUGAACGUUAUGACGGAUGUAGUCAGGAGGACGAAAUCACUGUACAAAAAAUGGGCACUAAUUACAGGGUUACGUUACCGAGCGGGACAGAGGUGUCGUUCUCCUUCAACUCGUGGUCCCACUGGAUUGACUACAUACAGAUCGUCGCUUCAUCUACUGACCUUCAAAACACAGAGGGCAUAUGUGGUUACUAUGACUACGACCGAAGCAACGACUUCAUACCUAAGAACGAGAAUACUCACACCAGCGAUGAGAAGCGUUUUGCCCUGUCCUGGCGGGUCACCAUAGGUUCAUCAGACAGCCUUUUCAAGAAAAAACCUGACGUCAUCUAUGGGUCGUCGUCUGGCGGAAGCUCCCCGCAGAGCCUUCAGAGGUACUGCACGUGCUCCUCCUACUUCCAGUACCACGACCAGUGGUACAACGUUCCUUUUGAUCCAAAUUAUGCAAAGUGCAACCUUGACGCCCCCACAGAGCCGUGCUCCGAGAAGAGCGGGCAGACCGUAAACGUCUGCUCGUCAAGUAGCAGACGACGGAGAAGCACAGCUGAAUCCGAUGACGUCAUCGAUGAAAUAGAAUUCAGUGUUGAUCCUGCAUUUGAUGAGAGUAUCGAACUAAAUGUUACCGACUGGGUGGCCCCAUGGAGUGAAGAAAAUGCUACCAGAUUUUGCAACGAGUCUUUUACUCAAGACAUCGCUGUGUCCACUUGCAUCGAGAAAGUGAACACCAGUGUCAGCGAGUACAUAGCCAGCUGUGUAGAAGACAUCAAGAUGAUCGGAAACGCGGAUUUUGUGACGGCCACCUUGGAUACCUUGAAAAAGGAAUGCGUGACCACAGCAUCACGUGAUUCGUCCUUCAGUAACACUACCUCUAACGGCGGAGAAAACAUUCUGGAUUUGUUAAAAUCUCUGGUUUGUCCCAACAACUGUUCUGGUAAUGGCGUCUGCGCAAAUGAGACCUGUACCUGUAACACUAACUAUAUGGGUGAGGAUUGUUCCAAAGAGCUGUCCCAACCACCGACCAAUUUCACGAUCCCACAGACUGGAGCCUGUGACACUAGUGCUCGAGCAUGUCAAAAAACCAACUUGUAUGGGGUCUUUGACAGCGAGACUAUCUACGCCAAGUGUACCUAUUUCAAGGGAACACCUAGCGGCAAGGAGAACAGUACUUAUUCAGUUCUGGCUGAUGUCCUAUACAGACAUGUCAACCUCAUCACAGUCACCAUCCCGAGUCCGCCGUCUUCGCGCAGGCGCAAACGCUCUGCCAGUGGUGAGGUUCAUGGGUGGGAGAUCCAGCUGAGUUACGACAACCAAACGUACGGAGAUUCUGCCGUCAUUCUACUGUUUGACAGCACCAAGACAUCAUGUGACACGACCACUUUAGUGUGUGUCAGCAAGGUAACAGCGGCAGAAUCUGAACCGGCGGACAACACCGGUGUCAUUGUUGGGGGCGUGGUAGGGGGCGUGGUCGUGCUGGCUGUCAUCGUAGGAAUAAUCAUCUACAUCAAGAUGUACAAAAGGGUGAAAGGAAAGGUCGGUGCGAGUACAGGCGACGUACGUAACACCAAGGACUCCGACCCCUUAACAAGCUCUUCACCUUAAUCAAGGAACUAAGGAAGGAAUGGACCAAUGAGAGUAAUGGGUUUCAGCAUUUCGUUAUCUGAAAGAGAUUGUGAUAGAAAAUUGAUUUGUGAUAUUUUUUUUAAUUGAUCAUCAGAGCAUUAGAUUAAACCGAAUGACGACAACACUGCAAUUCUGUGGCUUCAUCAUCGCAAUUCUUGUGCCAUAUACCUCCUCUGAACCUCAGAGCAUGCGCACUAACCGUCCCAUUUUUUGCUGUGAUAUUAAUAAGUUUUUGUCAUUAUUACCAUAUUAUAUAGAAUAUAUGUCUACGUCUUUGUGCCAACAUAUAUUCGUCCAAGAAACUGUGAUUUUUUUCUCUUCGAAUGUUGAUUUUUUAAGUCUGAUGCAUAUUUUUUGUAAUUAUUUGUAAAUUUAAAGAAAUUUGAAUUUGCAAAAGGGGGGGGGUCCGAACCACCUAACCUUCUCUGGAUCCGCGCAUGUACAUUGUUAUCACAUUAUUGUGUUGGUCUAUACUUAGUGGAUCUACAUGUAGGAAAUAAUUGUCAUUUUAAAGUAACUUUCUACACCUUAAAAUUAAUUCAACCAUAUGUAAUAUGUAAAUGUAGAUUGAAAUAUAAUAGAACACAUGUAAUCUCAACGAUCUAUGGUGUCAGUAAAGUCGGCUGUCAUUUAUGAAGACGAUUUAGUGCCAGGAACUUUGUCGAAUUUUUUAUUUUGGUAUUGUCGAAUCGAUAUGAUUUAACGAUUAUCUUCCAUUAGUUCAUAUCAAAUUGGUUAUCAUGUAAGUUUGAACGGUUUAUUUAAUCCUACAACAAUAAAAAGCUAAAACCAAGAAGCAUCAAAAAUUGCCCUAUUAUAAAAAAUCACCAUAUUUUGGUGAAAUAUUGUGUAUAAUCUUAGCUUUUCAUAAUUACCCGUUUUUCUUUUGUCGAUAUCUAUUAUACUUUUUUAUAAACAGAGUGAACAAUAUGACACUGUUUUGAUGAAAAAAUGUAGAACAUACGUCAUUUUUGUUAAGUAACGUCAUGAAAUGAUAAAAGUACGCAUGACUUGAAUUUAAUAAAAUAAACAAAAAAAAUUGUCUUGUAGACUCAAAGCACGUGAUAACGUUUAUAUUUGUGCUCAUGACGCAUGAUUGGCUAUAUGAAUUCAAAGGAAAUUAAACGUCGCAGAUUUCCAAUGCAAACAUAAGGGGAAAUAUAAAUUGAGUGUAAAUAUCAGAAGAUGAUUAUGAGACGUGGAUCUACCACUUACCCUCUUUAAGACCUCCACAUUUAUAAAGUACAUACGUGUUUUUAUGUAUUUUUGAGUUGUUUUGUAAUUUCAAUUAUUUCAUCUCUUUAUAAUCAAAGUUUUUAUUAAAUAAUUUCAUGCUUAAAA
rnacentral:sRNA from 1 species